GGCUUGUUAGCUCAAUUGGUAGAGCGCUGCACUACUAUCGCAGAGGUCAGUGGUUCGAGUCCCGUACAGGCCU
rnacentral:tRNA from 1 species